rnacentral:rRNA from 1 species
AAUGAACGUUGGCGGCGUGGAUUAGGCAUGCAAGUCGAGCGAGAAGUUUUCCAGCUUGCUGGAAAAUGGACAGCGGCGAAAGGGAGAGUAACGUGUGGAUUAUCUGCCUCUAGAUCAGGGAUAGCUGUGGGAAACUGCAGGUAAUACCUGAUAAUAUCUCCGGAUCAAAGGUGUGAUUCCGUCUAGAGAUGAGUCCGCAUCCUAUUAGUUAGUUGGUAGGGUAAUGGCCUACCAAGGCAAUGAUGGGUACCGGGUGUGAGAGCAUGGCCCGGCUCACUGGGACUGAGACACUGCCCAGACACCUACGGGUGGCUGCAGUCGAGAAUCUUCGGCAAUGGACGAAAGUCUGACCGAGCGACGCCGCGUGCGGGAUGAAGGCCUUCGGGUUGUAAACCGCUGUCAGUAGGGAGGAAGGCUCCGUGAAGAGCGGAGCUUGACCGAUCUUCAGAGGAAGUACGGGCUAAGUUCGUGCC